AUCCGACUGAGGAGUCCCAAAUGGGACGAAAUGCGCAUCCUGGAU
rnacentral:hammerhead_ribozyme from 1 species